AGAGUUUGAUCCUUGCUCAGGAUGAACGCCGGCGGUGUGCCUAAUACAUGCAAGUCGUACGCACUGGCCCAACUGAUUGAUGGUGCUUGCACCUGAUUGACGUUGGAUCACCAGUGAGUGGCGGACGGGUGAGUAACACGUAGGUAACCUGCCCCGGAGCGGGGGAUAACAUUUGGAAACAGAUGCUAAUACCGCAUAACAACAAAAGCCACAUGGCUUUUGUUUGAAAGAUGGCUUUGGCUAUCACUCUGGGAUGGACCUGCGGUGCAUUAGCUAGUUGGUAAGGUAACGGCUUACCAAGGCAAUGAUGCAUAGCCGAGUUGAGAGACUGAUCGGCCACAUUGGGACUGAGACACGGCCCAAACUCCUACGGGAGGCAGCAGUAGGGAAUCUUCCACAAUGGACGAAAGUCUGAUGGAGCAACGCCGCGUGAGUGAAGAAGGGUUUCGGCUCGUAAAGCUCUGUUGGUAGUGAAGAAAGAUAGAGGUAGUAACUGGCCUUUAUUUGACGGUAAUUACUUAGAAAGUCACGGCUAACUACGUGCCAGCAGCCGCGGUAAUACGUAGGUGGCAAGCGUUGUCCGGAUUUAUUGGGCGUAAAGCGAGUGCAGGCGGUUCAAUAAGUCUGAUGUGAAAGCCUUCGGCUCAACCGGAGAAUUGCAUCAGAAACUGUUGAACUUGAGUGCAGAAGAGGAGAGUGGAACUCCAUGUGUAGCGGUGGAAUGCGUAGAUAUAUGGAAGAACACCAGUGGCGAAGGCGGCUCUCUGGUCUGCAACUGACGCUGAGGCUCGAAAGCAUGGGUAGCGAACAGGAUUAGAUACCCUGGUAGUCCAUGCCGUAAACGAUGAGUGCUAAGUGUUGGGAGGUUUCCGCCUCUCAGUGCUGCAGCUAACGCAUUAAGCACUCCGCCUGGGGAGUACGACCGCAAGGUUGAAACUCAAAGGAAUUGACGGGGGCCCGCACAAGCGGUGGAGCAUGUGGUUUAAUUCGAAGCAACGCGAAGAACCUUACCAGGUCUUGACAUCCAGUGCAAACCUAAGAGAUUAGGUGUUCCCUUCGGGGACGCUGAGACAGGUGGUGCAUGGCUGUCGUCAGCUCGUGUCGUGAGAUGUUGGGUUAAGUCCCGCAACGAGCGCAACCCUUGUCACUAGUUGCCAUCAUUAAGUUGGGCACUCUAAUGAGACUGCUGGUGACAAACCGGAGGAAGGUGGGGAUGACGUCAAGUCAUCAUGCCCCUUAUGACCUGGGCUACACACGUGCUACAAUGGACGGUACAACGAGAAGCGAACCUGCGAAGGCAAGCGGAUCUCUUAAAGCUGUUCUCAGUUCGGACUGUAGGCUGCGACUCGCCUACACGAAGCUGGAAUCGCUAGUAAUCGCGGAUCAGCACGCCGCGGUGAAUACGUUCCCGGGCCUUGUACUCACCGCCCGUCA
rnacentral:rRNA from 1 species